UACAGAGGUCUCAAGCGUUGUUCGGAUUCAUUGGGCGUAAAGGGUGUGUAGGUGGCGCCGUAAGUGGGGUGUGAAAUUUCGAGGCUUAACCUCGAAACUGCAUUCCAUACUGCGGUGCUUGAGGACUGGAGAGGAGACUGGAAUUUACGGUGUAGCAGUGAAAUGCGUAGAUAAUCGUAAGGAAGACCAGUGGCGAAGGCGGGUCUCUGGAACAGGUUCCUGACACUGAGACACGAAGGCCAGGGGAGCAAACGGG
rnacentral:rRNA from 1 species